rnacentral:rRNA from 1 species
UACGGAGGGUGCAAGCGUUACUCGGAAUUACUGGGCGUAAAGCGUGCGUAGGCGGUUCGUUAAGUCUGUUGUGAAAGCCCCGGGCUCAACCUGGGAAUGGCAAUGGAUACUGGCGAGCUAGAGUGUGUCAGAGGAUGGUGGAAUUCCCGGUGUAGCGGUGAAAUGCGUAGAGAUCGGGAGGAACAUCAGUGGCGAAGGCGGCCAUCUGGGACAACACUGACGCUGAGGCACGAAAGCGUGGGGAGCAAACAGG